rnacentral:rRNA from 1 species
UACAGAGGUCUCAAGCGUUGUUCGGAUUCAUUGGGCGUAAAGGGUGCGUAGGCGGCGCGGUAAGUCGGGUGUGAAAUCUCGGAGCUUAACUCCGAAACUGCAUUCGAUACUGCCGUGCUUGAGGACUGGAGAGGAGACUGGAAUUUACGGUGUAGCGGUGAAAUGCGUAGAUAUCGUAAGGAAGACCAGUGGCGAAGGCGGGUCUCGUGGACAGUUCCUGACGCUGAGGCACGAAGGCCAGGGGAGCAAACAGG